ACGAACGCUGGCGGCGUGCCUAAUACAUGCAAGUAGAACGCUGAAGAGAGGAGCUUGCUCUUCUUGGAUGAGUUGCGAACGGGUGAGUAACGCGUAGGUAACCUGCCUUGUAGCGGGGGAUAACUAUUGGAAACGAUAGCUAAUACCGCAUAACAAUGGAUGACACAUGUCAUUUAUUUGAAAGGGGCAAUUGCUCCACUACAAGAUGGACCUGCGUUGUAUUAGCUAGUAGGUGAGGUAAUGGCUCACCUAGGCGACGAUACAUAGCCGACCUGAGAGGGUGAUCGGCCACACUGGGACUGAGACACGGCCCAGACUCCUACGGGAGGCAGCAGUAGGGAAUCUUCGGCAAUGGGGGCAACCCUGACCGAGCAACGCCGCGUGAGUGAAGAAGGUUUUCGGAUCGUAAAGCUCUGUUGUAAGUCAAGAACGGGUGUGAGAGUGGAAAGUUCACACUGUGACGGUAGCUUACCAGAAAGGGACGGCUAACUACGUGCCAGCAGCCGCGGUAAUACGUAGGUCCCGAGCGUUGUCCGGAUUUAUUGGGCGUAAAGCGAGCGCAGGCGGUUUGAUAAGUCUGAAGUUAAAGGCUGUGGCUCAACCAUAGUUCGCUUUGGAAACUGUCAAACUUGAGUGCAGAAGGGGAGAGUGGAAUUCCAUGUGUAGCGGUGAAAUGCGUAGAUAUAUGGAGGAACACCGGUGGCGAAAGCGGCUCUCUGGUCUGUAACUGACGCUGAGGCUCGAAAGCGUGGGGAGCGAACAGGAUUAGAUACCCUGGUAGUCCACGCCGUAAACGAUGAGUGCUAGGUGUUGGAUCCUUUCCGGGAUUCAGUGCCGCAGCUAACGCAUUAAGCACUCCGCCUGGGGAGUACGACCGCAAGGUUGAAACUCAAAGGAAUUGACGGGGGCCCGCACAAGCGGUGGAGCAUGUGGUUUAAUUCGAAGCAACGCGAAGAACCUUACCAGGUCUUGACAUCCGAUGCAUAGCGCAGAGAUGCGUGAAGUCCUUCGGGACAUCGAGACAGGUGGUGCAUGGUUGUCGUCAGCUCGUGUCGUGAGAUGUUGGGUUAAGUCCCGCAACGAGCGCAACCCCUAUUGUUAGUUGCCAUCAUUCAGUUGGGCACUCUAGCGAGACUGCCGGUAAUAAACCGGAGGAAGGUGGGGAUGACGUCAAAUCAUCAUGCCCCUUAUGACCUGGGCUACACACGUGCUACAAUGGUUGGUACAACGAGUUGCGAGUCGGUGACGGCGAGCUAAUCUCUUAAAGCCAAUCUCAGUUCGGAUUGUAGGCUGCAACUCGCCUACAUGAAGUCGGAAUCGCUAGUAAUCGCGGAUCAGCACGCCGCGGUGAAUACGUUCCCGGGCCUUGUACACACCGCCCGUCAAGCCAUGAAAGCCGGGGGUACCUGAAGUGCGUAACCGCAAGGAGCGCCCUAGGGUAAAACUGGUGAUUGGGGCU
rnacentral:rRNA from 1 species